AAUAACAAUAUAAUUUUACAAUGAAAGUGUAAUGUUUUUUUAAACUAUAUAAAUUAGAAAU
rnacentral:tRNA from 1 species